CGGGCUGAGACCCGGCCUGACAUUUAGUGCCUACUUGAAUGUCACAACGCUCCUCGCAGCAUUAUGCACGGCUCCUAUUCAUAAGAGGUCGAUUAGAGCACAAAAUGGCAGGUCUCUUAGGCACUUGAAUCUCACAAGUUUGACACAUGAAUCACCCCCUUCAUUGAUACCGAUCACCCAACAUCACAAGACAUCCCCAUCUCUCAGCGUGGACUCCCCCUAUCUGAUGUGCUAACAGCUGCAGAGGUGGGUAAGGAGCUGGAGCUGCCUGCGUGCUGGAGCCAUGCCAAGCAAGCAUUGCCCGUAGCGCUGCUGAGGGUCGAAUGGCUGGGACAGGAUGGAUCUCACUUCACAAAGUGGUAACCACUGUAUGAGGUAACCAGCCAUCCUCACAGAGACAGCUUACAUUCAGCUCUAAGCAUCCACUGCCAAACUGCAUUUGUGAAAAACGCAGAGAGGGUUUUGUUUUUGUUUUGUUAGUUGUUGUUUUUUUUUUCCUAGUGUAGCUAGAAGCAAAUCCUCAGAAGCUGACUGAUACACCAAACAAAACCUGUGAAACUCAGAGAUGACCGGGCCUUAUGUCCUUUAAGGCAUUAAAAUAUUCCUGACACCUUUUCCAAGCUCAUAGGCAUUUUAAAAUUUGCUACACCCUUUCCCAUCCUCUACACCCCAUCCAUGGACUAGACAAUCUAUGAUCAAAUGCAUGGGCUUGAGGCACGUCUUCUUUGUGUGAAUGAGUCCAUGUUACUUCUGCAGUCCAUACUUUGCAAGCAUUGUGAUGCUAUAAUUCAUUUCCACAAUAUGUGGCCCACUGGGUAAAAUUUCAGUUACACUAGUGAAAAUGUUGAAUAAGCCCUUGGAAGCUAAAACUAAUCACCACUUUAGAAAUCCAAAGGUGAUGAGCUUAUCUAGUUAAUAAUAAGCUUUUUAAGAAAAAGUUAUCAAUCUGUAUUUAACCAAUAGACAGGAACUGGUUCAAAAAGAGUCUUUCCAAUUCAUCAGGUAAUGAAUGCCUAUUAAAAAACUAUAAAUAAGCAUUCACCCGAGAGCUUGGAAUGGCACUUUGAGAGCCUUCCUGGUCACUCAGGUAAAUAAUGAGUUUUAUAUAACCUUUCGGCAAAGAUUUUUUGUAAAUGAGGAGACGAAAUGCAGAAAAGCUUCCAAUUAAUGUUAAGGUUGGGGUACAAGCCCACAUAACUGGGAAUUCAGAGUUAAAGCUGGCAUUAUUGUUCACUCUCAUGGUUUUCUGUAAGAGCUCAAUGUUGUCUUUACUCUGACUCGUUUGUGAUGAUUUCAAUUUAAAAUUUUAUUUAUAUAUGAUGUUUAAGCUGAUGACUAUUUUGUACAUUAUCUGCUCACACAGCAAACACUGAAGUGAAUAAGCACUGUAGAGAAGGGCAGGACAUCGGCCCCCAACCAAUGUGCAGCCAACAGUGAAAAUGACUGCAGUACUCUCUCACCACAGCGCCCAUCAAAUCUGCAAGCACUGUGCUUGCUCGAAUCUUAAGAGAAAAAGACCAAGAAAAAAAAUCCGGUAUCUCAUUCUGUCGAUAUUUACUACUGUCCUGUAAAGUAACUCUUAUCAAAUAUUUUGAGCUAUCUUGAUGACUAAGAAAAAAUAUACCCAUAAAGAGGCCCAUCAAUUAUCUUAAAAUCAAAUAAGCUGGCAACCAGGAUAUAUGACAAAAUUAAGUGUAAGCCCUUUCCUGGAUAACUGUACAGUCUUCUAUAGAGAAUUGUUCAUCAGCUGUCCUCAACACCUAACACCUUUGGUUGAGAAGACUAAUACAGGUUUCACACCCUGAAGUUAACAAACUUCAUUUGUUAUGUUCUCAGAGAAGAAAAUUGUACUACAGGCUCAAGGAUCGAAAAGGAAAACUUCUCCCAUCUAUAACCAUGGCAGUGUUUUGCAAUAAGAGAGACAUUUGAAAAGGCUAAAAUGCAAACCAAGAGAGGAAAAAAUAUAUAGUGUUUGGAUUCAAUAGAGAUCUUUCCUGACCUCUGUGAUUCUAAAGAAAUAUAUCCUUCCAAUUGUUCCAUAUUGUGUUACAACAUAUUUUUUGCAUUUAUUAAUAAUUCAAACAUGUUGUUGUUGAAAAAAAUUAUUCACAUCAUGUGUUCAUAGUUUCCAUAUACAUAUGUCAAAUUUUAUUUUGUUUUACCAUUAUAAUCUAUGAAUGGAUUUACCCUUUGUUUCUGUUUUCAAAUCUCUGAGGAAUGUUUGAUUAGGUAGGAGGGUUUGUUUUAUGCAUUACUUGUUCAUCAUUGCACAAGUGCACAGGCUAAACAAAGUUGGCAUACUUCAUACUGAUUGGUGGAAACCACAUAGUUAAACAGUGUAGUUAAUACAGGGGAAUGAGUAAUUUCUCACCACAGCUAAUCAGCUGCACAAUAGCUAUGUAUCAGACACUGCAGCUAUAUAUAAAAAAUGCUUUUUAAGGUCGCUUGCAGCGUACGUGAUUAUCUGAUAGUAUCUGUUACAAUCAUUUCAUAUUAACAUACUUCUGUAUUUAAUAAAAAUAAUGUUGUGUGCAGCAGUCUGUAUACAUAACUGUCCAGGAUACCAGGGACUAUCAAGUAAAUUGCAAACACAGGAAUGUUCUAGCUGAUACACAGUGGAAAAUACGUCCAGGUUCAUCCAACUUGACCGUGUCAGGUGUAAAAGAAAAGCAAGAGCUCUGAGGAUGACAGAACAGUUAAUGCUUCACUGAAGAACUUAAAUCAGUUGCACAAUUCUAUAACUAUCACUCCAUACAGCUGUAACUAAGAAAUAAUAAGAUAAAUACCUUGUAUUAUUAUUUAGCAUCUGUCUUCUGCAUUAAUGCUUUUCCGUCCCUUUGUAAUGAGCUGGACGUUAUUAUGACUUCCAUUCCCCAAGAACAUAUCUUUAGCAGUUCAGAAUGUGUCUCUCCAUUAGAAAACGAAGUUGAGUUCAGUAGGAGUUAACAUUAACAAUUCAAGAGCCUGUAGAAGAAAUUAGAAACAUGAGUCCUCCAUAAUGAUGAUAAAAUCAAACUGGCAAAUAAAUGUAUUCUCAAGUUUCAUAGUAAGAAAAUGGAUGAAUAUAUGCAACUAAAAUGGUCUCUUAAAUUUCAAGUGCAAGGCCAGGAUUCUCAAGAACUUGCUCCUACACAGAAGAAGCUGAAUUAGAAAUCUAUUGAGUAAUCUUACUAGCGCCUAUCUGCACAUGUAAAGCAAACUUCAUGAAGUCCACAAUUUCACCCUACCAGACUAAUCCAAAGACCACUGGGAUCUACUUCUCUGAAUUUGAUGAGUUUGGGAUCAAGCCUUUUGAAGAUAAGGAAUGAGCUGGAAACAAAACGAUGCCAUAAAUCAGAAUGAGUGGUAAAGAAUUAAGCAGUUCAAAAUACAGCUUUCUGUUGUACUCUAUACCAGGGUUAUAACAUAAAACAAAACAACACAACUAUUGAUGUAUAAAUAGUACAGAGAAAGAUACAUAAAUAUUUGUGCUAUUAAGGAAUUAGUGAAAUCGCAGAGCUUCACUUUCUUAAAAAAUACAGGCUCUAUUUUGAUAUCCACAUUUAAGGAAACACUUUGGUUCUGAUAAAACUAAGUGGAUAAUUAAAAAUUAUAAUAUUAAUUGUACUCUUAACACAGAUAAGUAAA